rnacentral:SRP_RNA from 1 species
GCCAGGUAUUGUGGCAGGCACCUGUAGUCCCAGCUACUGGGGAGGCUGAGGAGAAUCACUUGAACCCAAGAGGCAGAGAUUGCAGUGAGCCGAGAUCAGGCCACUGCACUCCAGCUUGAGUGACAGAGCGAGACUCCACCUCAAAAAAAAAAAAAAAANNNNNNNNNNUUUUUUUUUUUUUUUUGAGGUGGAGUCUCGCUCUGUCACUCAAGCUGGAGUGCAGUGGCCUGAUCUCGGCUCACUGCAAUCUCUGCCUCUUGGGUUCAAGUGAUUCUCCUCAG